UACAGAGGUGGCAAGCGUUGUUCGGAAUUACUGGGCGUAAAGGGCGCGUAGGCGGCCUUCUAAGUCGAACGUGAAAACCCCAGGCUUAACCUGGGAACUGCGUUUGAUACUGGAAGGCUUGGAUUCGGGAGAGGGAUGCGGAAUUCCAGGUGUAGCGGUGAAAUGCGUAGAUAUCUGGAGGAACACCGGUGGCGAAGGCGGCAUCCUGGACCGAGAUCGACGCUGAGGCGCGAAAGCUAGGGGAGCAAACGGG
rnacentral:rRNA from 1 species